rnacentral:rRNA from 1 species
UACGUAGGGAGCAAGCGUUGUUCGGAUUUACUGGGCGUAAAGGGCGCGUAGGCGGCAUAUUAAGUCAUCUGUGAAAUCUCCGAGCUUAACUCGGAACUGUCAGCUGAUACUGAUGUGCUAGAGUGCGGAAGGGGCAAUCGGAAUUCUUGGUGUAGCGGUGAAAUGCGCAGAUAUCGGGAAGAACACCCGUGGCGAAGGCGGCUCUCUGGGACGGUACUGACGCUGAGACGCGAAAGCGUGGGGAGCGAACAGG